rnacentral:rRNA from 1 species
UGGGGAAUAUUGCACAAUGGGCGGAAGCCUGAUGCAGCGACGCCGCGUGGGGGAUGAAGGCCUUCGGGUUGUAAACUCCUUUCGACAGGGACGAAGCUUUUGUGACGGUACCUGUAUAAGAAGCACCGGCUAACUACGUGCCAGCAGCCGCGGUAAUACGUAGGGUGCGAGCGUUGUCCGGAAUUACUGGGCGUAAAGAGCUCGUAGGUGGUUUGUCGCGUCGUCCGUGAAAUUCCGGGGCUUAACUCCGGGCGUGCAGGCGAUACGGGCUGACUUGAGUGCUGUAGGGGAGACUGGAAUUCCUGGUGUAGCGGUGAAAUGCGCAGAUAUCAGGAGGAACACCGAUGGCGAAGGCAGGUCUCUGGGCAGUAACUGACGCUGAGGAGCGAAAGCAUGGGUAGCGAACAGGAUUAGAUACCCUGGUAGUCCAUGCCGUAAACGGUGGGCGCUAGGUGUAGGGGGCUUCCACGUCUUCUGUGCCGUAGCUAACGCAUUAAGCGCCCCGCCUGGGGAGUACGANAAGCAAGGCUA